ACUGAGGCUCUGGAAGGGUGCUCCGGGCUGCCGUGUUUUGGGCAGCCAUGGAGACUGCUGGAAUUGAGUUUUUUUUUUUUUUUAAAGGAUUUUAUUUAUCCACUCAUGAGAGACACAGAGACAGAGGCAGAGACACAGGCAAAGGGAGAAGCAGGCUCUCCACGGGACUUCCAGGAUCCUUGGGAUCACAACCCGAGCCAAAGGCAGACGCUCAACCACUGAGCCACCCAGGCGCCCCUGGAAUUAUUAUGUCUCCAUUCUGUGUACUUGUGAAGGUGGGAGGUCCUUGGACAGGAGCUGAGCUGUUGAACCAUCUGGAGCAUGGGAAAUGCACAGAAGCCUUAAGGUGAGAUUUGGCUACAAGGGAAGGUUGACGGUGCAUCUGGGGAAAAAGUCACUGUAUUAAGCAUGGCAUGUCUCUAGUGUUGAGAGACCUGGGGAAGCCAGUAAAGCCAGAUGCAUUUUGAGGGAAGCAUUCUUGAUUUUAUAACUUGAGUUCACCAUACUUCUCUAAUGGAGAGUAUUAAAGUCACGAGUGAUGGUUACAAUAAAAUCAGGGAUAUUUUGAGUUCUCA
rnacentral:lncRNA from 1 species